UACGUAGGGUGCGAGCGUUGUCCGGAAUUAUUGGGCGUAAAGAGCUCGUAGGCGGUGUGUCACGUCGUUCGUGAAAACCUGCAGCUUAACUGUGGGCGUGCGGUCGAUACGGGCAUCACUGGAGUUCGGCAGGGGAGACUGGAAUUCCUGGUGUAGCGGUGAAAUGCGCAGAUAUCGUAAGGAAGACCAGUGGCGAAGGCGGGUCUCUGGACAGUUCCUGACACUGAGGCACGAAGGCCAGGGGAGCAAACGGG
rnacentral:rRNA from 1 species